UGUCUCUGCCUCUGUCUCAGUCUCAGUUCCAGGGUACAGACAGAGACAGAGGAAUGUCCUCCUUUUAGAUGAUUGGGCUGGUAUAUAUUUGUGUGUGUGUGUGUGUGUGUGGGGCAGUGGGGGGGUGGGGGAGGGACCAAAAGGCACCUUUCUGGGCCACACAGAAAAACUGGGCAGGGUCUGAAAAGUUAAUGGGCUCUAGAUCUCUUGCUCUCUCCAUCUAUGUCUAUGGCUCACAGUAUAUCCAGUGAUACCCACUCACCCAUGGAAUGUAAACGCUGCCAGUUUGCAGUGCCUAACUCAUUUGGUUCUCUACCUGGGCCACCCUGCAGUCUGCCCUUUCACUGGCUCUCGGCCAUUUUGUUGAAAAAAAAGCCAAAAGGCUGACCCUGAUUGUAAACCACUAACUCUCAACACGCCUCUCUUGCUGGUUGGUGGCAGAUGCUCACAGUCUAGCUUGGGCAUGGUGUGCUCACACCAGGUAGGCAUGCCGCUUAGCAUCAGAACUUUUGCUCAGCAAUCAAUCCUGGAUCGGGUAGCUGGAGACAGGAAAGCCUGAGCAACUGAGAGGCAUUCUUCAUCUGAGUAGGCCAUAUGGGGUUCAACAGGCAGAGAGUAUGGCCUGGUAGAAGGCAAAUGAAAAGCUGAAAAGCUGCUAGAGGUCUACCCACUAUUUUGAAGGUGCCCUCUAUAGUACAGUCUAUUUGAAGGGCUGCCCAGUCCAAAAAUAAAGAAUCAUCAGAAGGAAGAGCUCGGCCUUGAAGUCACUUGGCAGCACCUGGACAGCAGACCAGGCAAGGCACAUGGGCCACGUGAUCAUAGCUUUCUAUACUAUGGUGAGAUACACUAUAUUUCCAUUUAAAUUAUAAUGUUUAUUUCUGCAUUUGUCAAACACAUAGAAUAUGCAACAUUAAUAUAAAUUGGUGCCUACAUUGUCCUAUUUUUUAAUGCAAGUCCUUUUAUCUGGAGACUCAGAACCCUAACCAAAGUGUGCAGGGCCUGUGGGCAUGCACAUAAUGCUGCCUUUAACAUCUCUGCAAACUGGGGUGGGCAAGGCUAGGAAAGAGAGUGAGAAGACAGCUCUAACGUUUUGAAAGGUUUUUCUUAAAGCAUGUUUUUAAAAAGAGCACAGAGAGGUGACAGCUUUGUGAGAGCCAUUGGUAAUCCGAGCAGGUACCAUGGCAACCAUAGGUACUGCUUUGGGGACCUCCGAUCAAAAAAGCAAUGGAGCAUGCAGGGUCUUUGUCUGUUUCUUCUGUUCACUCACAUAACCAACAGCAGCGGGUUGCACCCAACUCUACUAGUCUAUGAUUCCAACAAAGUGUCCCUAGAAAGGUACUGGUAUGUUUCUCCUAGUGUCAUCCCAGCAUUAAAACAUACCAUGUUGCAAGUUGAUUCCACUGGGAGUCUGUCCAUAGAGACCUAUGAUUGCACACCCACCUACCUGGGCAUAAAAGCAACUAAGCUCAGUUUUUACACCUGAGAGGGCUCCCUGAGCAUUACCCUGCUAGUACCCCCACCCCAAAGAUCUCCAAUAAGAUCAACAUGGCAACAAGCUUUGUUGCACCAUUCUAAAACCAGUUGCUCCAUUUUGGUUUUUGAAGCAAGUCACGUCAGUGUGUGUGUGUGUGUAAACACUGUUUUAUUCCUUUAAUUGUUUCAGUGUUGUUAGUUUCCCCAAGAGGUUAUCAAUAGUAUUAAGAAAAGAGAUGGAAGUAAUGGACGGCAUAAAUAUUUGAUAAGUAAAUAAAUAAAAGAUAAUAAAAUACAUAUUUGCUGCCUCCCCAAUCUCUUAUUUUCUGAGCAUUUAAGAUUAAUGCAGGAAAGCGGAUCAUUAAGGAAGAAAAUAAUGUCUCAUUGGUAAGUGUACUGGCAAAAGAACAGAUGAAUCAAGUCUGUAUUUUUCAUUUCAGUUUUGAAGAGAAUCUACCAAAGUCUCAGACAUUCAACAAAGCUUCAGCCAUCUGCAUUACCAAGCCCUGAAUGAACUGUUGCCUAAUGCCAAAUCUUUUUCCAUUGUGACAGAUGCAUAUUCCAGAUAUCCGUUACUGGCAUUUUUUCAUCUACUUCAUUGGAUACUUUGUUCCCUGCUCUGUGUAUUAAGCACACGUGGUACCCCAUGUUUUAUCAGAUAUGACAGUAGGACAGUAUUCAAGCAUUUAAUUCUUUCUUUCCUGUCCCUCCACUUCAACCCCUUUUGGAACUUGUGGGAUUUAGAUAUAAAGAAGAUCACAACUUGUUUGACCACAAGCCAAUGACAUGGCUAGGAUACUUUAUGCAAAAAAAAUAAAAAAGGUAAAAAAUGAAAUUGAAGAUUUUAAAUUGAGAUCUUUUAAAAGCACCCUCCAAAUCCAGGCCCAAAUCCAGGCCCAUUCAUUCUCCUGGAAAAGGAAAAAUACCUAGUGGAGAUCUAUCAAUUAGCUGUCUGUCUGUCUGUCUACCUAUCUCAAGACUCAAAGGCUAUUUGGUGCAGAAGUGAAGCAUGGCAAAGCUAACUAAGACAUCUCUUCAAGAGCCCAGUGAAGGACAGUUGAUAUCAAAGCAAAGAAACACCAAAGAAAUUGAUCAUAGCAAUCAUUUUUAAUAUAAAUAAUACCCAUGGUUUAUGCAUAAAUAGUCCUACAACUCCCAGCAUUCCCAGCCAGAAUGUUUAUGUCCAAACAUUAAUACUAUUUUGCCUUAAAGUCCAUUAUGAAGACAGCUCUUAGGUGUGGCACAUGGGCAGUUAAGUCAUUUUUCGUCCCACUGAAACUGACGUAAUGUCAGUUUUGGGCUUUGUGGGAACUCAGAACGGAAGCUCAAAGGCCCAGCUGCUUGACACGGAACACCUGGGGCAGGUUUCAGGGCUGGUGUAUCCUGGGGACCCAGCAGCUGUGCUAGCAUGCCAGGCACAGAAGCCCAUGCUGGCCUUUGGGGAGACAUUGGGGUUAAAUGGCAACAAAACAGAGAAAGCCAGUUCACCCAAGUAAGUUCCUAUUUUUGUCACUAACCCACUCAUAGCUUCUUCCCAUUCUCACUGCUUCCAACAGCAGGCGACUUUCUCCUGAAACUCGGGUGCUGCAGGUGUGGGAAUAGGAUGACCACUUAUGUAUCACACAAAAAGAUGAAAUAAGAAGAAUUGCAUUUGCGAAAUUAAAAAUACCAAUGCAGAUACAAACCUAACAGACCUAAUGUCUCCACUGUGUGGAAGACUGUUACCAGGUGACUUCAAGGCCCAUUUGCCCUUCCAGUCCAUGCCAGACCUCCAUGCCAGACCUCCACACGGGCAUCUACAGCCCUCCCACACCACUGCUGACCACCACGCACCCAGCGCUGAAAGUGGCAGUGACUGGCAAAGAGGGAGUGCCCUGCGGCCUGUGGGUGGGACGUCUGCUGAUGGGUCCUUUUUGCCAGCCUGCGCCCAGAGGAGCAGGCUCAGGGAACAGCUGAAGGACAGUGCCAAAGGGCAGCACCUGUGUGGGGUCCAUUUGGUGCCCAUUUGGUGCUGGUUUGGGUCCUUGGUCUGUCGGUCUGAGAGGCUGAUAAUCCUGCCACAGCCUCAACUGUGGCACAGCAGCAUUAUUUUAUUAUUUUAAUUAUGUCACUCAGGAACUUUGGGGUGCAAUGUGAUCACAGGUAGGGGGUGUGGCAUUGGGGGAUUAACUAGCCAACAAAAGAGAGGAGGGGUGAGAUAUUUGAGUGCUGUCCCCUCUUCUGGUUCCUCUCCCAACCAGAUGCUUCCUGGCGACUGUACCAGCCCACUCUUGAACCUGGUGCUGCUGCUGUUCGAUGCCAGGUCAGUCCAAACCAAAAACUUUCUCAGCCAGGGGCUGACCUAGUUUGUUUUACAGAGACUUGGGUGGGAGAAAUGGGAGGAGACACUCUUUCACAGCUGUGCUCUCCUGGAACUCCGUGCAACUCCAGCACUGCCCUGAGGGUUGGCAGGGGAGUGGCAGUGGUCUAAAGGAAUGCUAUCUGCCCCUCUAGGCUUCCUGUUUUCUUGAGGAUAGGUCUUGGGUGCUUUUAUUUUAUUUUAAAAUUUUUAUAUGCCAUCCAAUACCAAAGUCUCUGGACAGCUUCCAAAAGCAAGCAAGCAAGCAAACAAAACAACAACAACAUACCAACAAACAACACACUGCAUCUGACUAUUAAUGAUAAAAACAAAGAUGAAACCAAUUAAAUGUUAAAAUGUUGGGGAAAUAAAAAGGUUUUCGACCAAUAAGCUGAAACUUAAUCCAGGGAAGAAGGGGGAGAUGCUGGUGGGUGGAUCUUCUGUCCAGAUGGAUGAUAUUGCACUUGUCCUGGGCAGGGGUGCACUCCCCAGAAGGGCCAGGUUGUAGUUUGGGAGUGCUCCUUGAGCCUGGAUUGUCACUGGAAUUUCAGGUGGAUUCGGUGGCUCAGACCACCGUCAAUCAGCUUAAGCUGAUUCACAAACUAGGACCCUGUUUGGACAGACAGGACUAGCAACUGGUAGUCCAUGCUCUGGUAACUUCUCAUCUGGAUUAUUGUAAUGCACUCUGUGUGAGGCUGCCUUGGAAGUGGUCUGGAAACAAUAGGUCCAGAACAGGGCAGCAGGGCUGCUGGCAAGGACUGGCCAUCAAAAACUCAUAAGGCCAGUCCUCUACCACCUCCAUGGGUUGCCACUUGAAGUUGGGGCCCCAUUCAGAGUGUUAACAUUAACAUUUAAAGCCCUAAACUCCUCUUCCCAUAUGUGUCUACCUAGACCCUGCGAUUGUCAUCUUUGGCCCUUCCAGAGAGCCCUCUCUGAAGGAAAUUAAGAGGGUGGCUACAAGGGGAAGGGCCUUCUUGGUGGUGGUACCCUGGAUUUGUAAUCAGCUCCCCAAAGAGGUUUGCCUGGCACUCUCUGUUCACUCUUUUUGGUGACAGGCAAAACCCUCUUCAUUUGCCGAAUACUUUAAUAGUUAAAAUAAUCCUUUAAAAGAACUUUAAAACUUUUUAUCCAUAUGGUGUUUAUUUGUAUUUUAGUGCUAUUAUAACCCUGGAUUAAAGUUUUAAUUGUUGUGGCUACUAUGGGUUUUCUGGGGCGGGGCGGGGGUUGCUGUGGCCUCUUGUUGCUAUUUUAUUGAUAUAUUAUGUAUGUUUGAUUUAAUACUAUUGUUUUUAUUGUAUAUGUUGUUUGCUAUGACUUUGUAAACUGCCCAGAGAGCCAUUUUGGCUACUGGGCAGUGUAGAAAUGAAACAAAUUUAGACUGGGCAGCCCUUAAAACAGAAGACUGUCCACUAUCCUAGACGACUCAUGGCCAUCCAAAAGCGAGGCACAUCCUGGAUUGCCCCUGCAGUACUUGUGUGAUAUGCAAGAAGCAGCACGAUGGAAACUCCUAUGUCAUCCUGGGUCAAAAGAGAAUUUUCUUCAAAUGCCCAGCAAGCUGCAAAGAUCAGAGGCCACUGGGCUGCUGCUCUCUCUUGCUCCUUAAUGGAUAUUCUGCACAGAAAGAAAGAAAGAAAGAAAGAAAGAAAGAAAGAAAGAAAGAAAGAAAGAAGGAAAGAAAAUGGAUAGACCAUAAAGAAACACAGCUAGAAGAUGACAUGGUCUUCACCCUCCAUGACCUUCCAUAAAUGGAGUGGAGUGAAUGGAGUACCACAGAGACCUCACAGGGAAGCAUCCCACACAUCCACCUUAGCCUCUCUUUCUUCCUGUCCUGUCCUCUCCCUUCCUCACCUGUGGACUCGAAGCAGGCUACUUCUUCUGCCAUUGCCAUUUAACUGGGUAGAAGCUCUGGUCUGUGCUUUCCAAGGGUUUUCAAAGAAAGAAGAUUCAGGAGUGGUUUGCCAUUCCUGCCUCCUGCACAGCACUCACCAGAGUUAGCUCGAACAUCACUGCCGUUGUCUGUGAAAGGCCCUCCAUCCAGGUCAGCUUCAGCUCCUGCUGCUGCCCAUAACUGUCCAUCAGGAGUUUCUCUGCCCCCAUCACCAUUAGAGGUAGCCAUUCACUUCCACUGAUGUGCCUAUGGCUCCUGCAGAGUGUGAAUUAAUCGUAGUCUGGUGUUUCCGCUUGGACCAAGCUGUCUGGGGUGACCCUGCUGGGCCUAGUGAGACAAUCUGGCCUCCUGGCAGCACCGGUGUUGGCUUUUCUGACACUCUCACCCCCACCCCAAAUUAAGGUGUGCAUCUGGGGGGAAGCGUAAUUUGGAUUAUUUCAUUAUUGGGUUUCCAACUGGGACCUAGAUCAAAUCAUGGCAGAGCUUUGUCUGAAAGCAACAACUGAGACUGUCACACUUUUGCCACAUCACAAGAAGGCAAAACUCCUUGGAGAACACAGUUGCGCUAGAGGCAGGCAGAAGAAGAAAUACGAGGUGGAUUGCCUGCAUAAAGAAAGCCACAGCCCGGAAUUUGUAAAAGCUGAACAGGUUUGGCAUAGGAGAGCUUUCAUUCUGGAGGGCUUUCAUUCAUAGCAUCACCAAAGGUCAGAGCCGAUAACACAUAAUAACAGCAGUUAAAAUAAUAAAACAAAUAUAUAAAAGGCACAUAUAAACACACAGAGAAAAUAUAAAAUAAAAUCAGCACUGAACCCAACAGACUAUUUUACAAGCCAAAGGCCUGCUUGAGCAAAAACAUCUUUGCUUGUCACAGAUCGCAAAGAGGGACCCAACCCAGCUUCUCUUGGCAGUGUUGCACCAAAAAUGUAGCCUUGAAAUACAUCUAGCUAGCCAUUGCCUCUAGGAGCUGAGACAUGUACACACCCCCCGGAAUGUUCUUAUCACUAAGUCUUAGAAGGUGCAUACCAGAGCCAUAUUAGGAAAGCAGCGCUGUUUCAGAAAAGGAUUAGGUGGAAGAAGUGGAUGCGGUAGACUGUGUAACUUGCUGAUUGGCUAUUUAGAUUGUACACCCCUAAGGGACAGGAGAGUAUAACUGCGAUCGCAUAGGGAGGGUGUGGAUCUGCUUUGUGGCAUAAGCCAGAGCUUCCACCCACGCUGCAGCUUGCUUUUAGAAAAAUCCCUUGGACCAAAGAGCUGUUGGUGUCUGCCUUUUUGGGUUUCCCCUGAGAGGACUGGGAUUGGGGAUCAAGUCCUCUCAGGCAAUGACCAAGUGAGCGAAUAGAAACAUGGAAACAUAGAAGUCAUAGAAACCAUCUAGUCUGACCCCUGGCUCCAGCUGGCUCUGCUCACAUCAUGCCUACCAUGUGCAUGUCUAGCCUAUCU